CUCAACUCUGGGCGUGCAUUUGAAACUGGGUUGCUAGAGUGCAGGAGAGGAAAGUGGAAUUCCUAGUGUAGCGGUGAAAUGCGUAGAGAUUAGGAGGAACACCAGUGGCGAAGGCGACUUUCUGGACUGUAACUGACGCUGAGGCGCGAAAGCGUGGGGAGCAAACAGGAUUAGAUACCCUGGUAGUCCACGCCGUAAACGAUGAGAACUAGAUGUUGCGGGGGUUUGCCCCGUGGUGUCGCGGCUAACGCGUUAAGUUCUCCGCCUGGGGAGUACGCCGGCAACGGUAAAACUCAAGGGAAUUGACGGGGACCCGCACAAGCGGUGGAGCAUGUGGUUUAAUUCGAUGCAACGCGAAGAACCUACCUGCCCUUGACAUGUCCGGAACCCUGCAGAGAUGCGGGGGCGCCUUCGGGAACCG
rnacentral:rRNA from 1 species